CGCUGGCGGCAGGCUUAACACAUGCAAGUCGAACGAAGGCCCGGCUUCGGCCGGUCACCUUAGUGGCGGACGGGUGCGUAACGCGUGGGAACUUACCCUUUAGUUCGGAAUAACAGGGGGAAACCUCUGCUAAUACCGGAUACGCCCUUCGGGGGAAAGGCUUCGGUCGCUAAAGGAUGGGCCCGCGUCGGAUUAGCUUGUUGGUGGGGUAACGGCCUACCAAGGCGACGAUCCGUAGCUGGUCUGAGAGGAUGAUCAGCCACACUGGGACUGAGACACGGCCCAGACUCCUACGGGAGGCAGCAGUGGGGAAUAUUGGACAAUGGGGGAAACCCUGAUCCAGCCAUGCCGCGUGAGUGAAGAAGGCCUUAGGGUUGUAAAGCUCUUUCACCGGGGAAGAUAAUGACGGUACCUGGAGAAGAAGCCCCGGCUAACUCCGUGCCAGCAGCCGCGGUAAUACGGA
rnacentral:rRNA from 1 species